rfam:Oryza sativa (indica cultivar-group) chromosome 6, whole genome shotgun sequence.
AAUAAGUGUAGUUUUAUACUAUUCACGUUUAAUAUUUGAUCUUUCGUCUUAUUUGAAAAUUUUUUAUGAUUAGUAUUUUUAUCGCUAUUAGAUAAUAAAACAUAAAUAGUACUUUAUGUGUGACUAAAUAUUUUUAAAUUUUUCACAAAUUUUUUAAAUAAGAAGGACGGUUAAACGUUAGACACGAAUAUCUACGUCUACACUUAUU